rnacentral:rRNA from 1 species
AUUGAACGCUGGCGGCAGGCCUAACACAUGCAAGUCGAACGAGUGGCGGACGGGUGAGUAAUGUCUGGGAAACUGCCCGAUGGAGGGGGCUAACUACUGGAAACGGUAGCUAAUACCGCAUACCAUCGGUUCUGCCCAGAUGGGAUUAGCUAGUAGGUGUGGUAACGGCUCACCUAGGCGACGCUCCCUAGCUGGUCUGAGAGGAUGACCGGCCACACGGGAACUGAGACACGGUCCAGACUCCUACGGGAGGCAGCAGUGGGGAAUAUUGCACAAUGGGCGAAAGCCUGAUGAAGCAAUGCCGCGUGGAUGAAGAAGGCCUGCGGGUUGUAAAGUACUUUCAGCGAGGAGGCGUUACUCGCAGAGGAAGCACCGGCUAACUACGUGCCAGCAGCCGCGGUAAUAC